CUGCUGCCGUUGUGUCCGACAGACAUUUUAUUUAUUCAGGCUUUUUUUUUGUACAACAAGGAGUCAUUUGUAAGCAUUGGAAACUUUUAUUUUACUACUAAACAAGUUGUUGGUGGCUGUCGUGGCCGACCACUUGAGCGAAUGGGGUAACAGACGAAAAAGGAGGGCAAGAGGACGACUGAAUCUGGCACGCAGUGAACGUGUUCGCGCCGCUGCCGCCCUGCCAGAGGAUUUGUGCCUGUUGCACUACACCUGAGUAAAGAGGCCGACAGGACGACUGAAUCUGCUUCUCACCAAACUUGAUGGACCUCUUCAGGAAGAAGAGCGGCUUCAGUGGGCAGCUUCUAACUGACCUUUUACGUCAGACAAGGACCAGUGAGCCCACAGACAUCAGGUGUCUUUGUCUUCGGGGACUGCCAGUCAUCUUGGGGUAUGACCCAUCUGCGUUCUUCAAAACCUGUUCGGCUGCAACUGACAAGGACAGUGAAACUCCAGUGGGAAUCCUCUGCAUUGACGAGCAGCCUCAACUCAACCCAUCCAGAGUGAGCGUCAUCUUGGAAGGACUUGUGGCGAUGGAGGAGCUGGCCAACCUGCCACAGGCUUUCUGUGUCCUUUUGGGACGGAUUUAUGCAUUGCACUUGGAUUACCCCAAGUGCUUGAAAAACACCCUCCUCUUCAUUCAGCAGGUCAUGCUAAACCUGGGCACAGGUGAGCUGACACCCAAAAUUCAAUCUUUGAAGAAUUAACUGUGUUUAAAACAGGGGUCUGAAUACUUUUCCACUGUUCUGGAUUUGAGUGCUUGGUUAUUUGUAAUGUUGCUCUUUAAAAAUACAAUUACUGUAGGCACUGUUUAAUAUGCAAGUUUUUUAUGCAUAACCACUGAUUUUGCUAUUUGCUUUCAUGCUGAUUGAUGUGAUUCAUAUUAUUAGUACAGCUCUUGUUCAAUUCCUAUUGUUACCUGAGUUUAACAGCAUUGUCAUUGACUUUGAAGAUUAUUAUUGUCAUCAUGAGAAAAGCAGUAUUUGAUUUUUUGAUUGCAAACCAGUUUAUAACGUGACAGAUGUUUAAUUAAACAUGUUGACAAGAACGUAUUCUGUGGUUUUGCUUUUUAUUGUCUUAGUUUAAUCGGUAUAAUUUAUUAUUAUUAAACAGAUUUUAUUUGUAAUGGCGUGAUUGGGCACAUGAUUUUUUUAAGGUUAUUCAACUUGGAGGUUACUGUAUUCAGCUUAAAAUUAUAAGUGGAAUAAACAUGUAAAGCAAUUGAUAUUACUAAUGAUUUUAAGUUUAAUCAACUUGGAGGUUAGUGCACCUAACCUUAAAUUAACAGUGGAAUAAAC